UCCAUGCAGUCGACGGUAACGCGGGGCAACCUGGCGACGAGUGGCGAACGGGUGAGUAAUACAUCGGAACGUGCCCAGUAGUGGGGGAUAGCCCGGCGAAAGCCGGAUUAAUACCGCAUACGACCUAUGGGUGAAAGGGGGGGAUCGCAAGACCUCUCGCUAUUGGAGCGGCCGAUGUCAGAUUAGGUAGUUGGUGGGGUAAAAGCCUACCAAGCCGACGAUCUGUAGCUGGUCUGAGAGGACGACCAGCCACACUGGGACUGAGACACGGCCCAGACUCCUACGGGAGGCAGCAGUGGGGAAUUUUGGACAAUGGGCGCAAGCCUGAUCCAGCCAUGCCGCGUGCGGGAAGAAGGCCUUCGGGUUGUAAACCGCUUUUGUCAGGGAAGAAACGCUCUGGGAUAAUACCCUGGGGUAAUGACGGUACCUGAAGAAUAAGCACCGGCUAACUACGUGCCAGCAGCCGCGGUAAUACGUAGGGUGCAAGCGUUAAUCGGAAUUACUGGGCGUAAAGCGUGCGCAGGCGGUUUUGUAAGACAGAGGUGAAAUCUCCGGGCUUAACCUGGGAACUGCCUUUGUGACUGCAAAGCUUGAGUGCGGCAGAGGGGGAUGGAAUUCCGCGUGUAGCAGUGAAAUGCGUAGAUAUGCGGAGGAACACCGAUGGCGAACGCAAUCCCCUGGGCCUGCACUGACGCUCAUGCACGAAAGCGUGGGGAGCAACAGGAUUAGAUACCCUGGUAGUCCACGCCCUAAACUAUGUCAACUGGUUGUUGGGAAGGUUCCUUCUCAGUAA
rnacentral:rRNA from 1 species